AUCAGGGGCCCCAGAGCCAGAGGUACCAUCAGGGGACCUAGAGCCAGAGGUACCAUCAGGGCCCCCCAGAGCCAGAGGUACCAUCAGGCCCCCCCAGAGGUACCAUCAGGGCCCCCCAGAGCCAGAGGUACCAUCAGGGCCCCCCAGAGCCAGAGGUACCAUCAGGGCCCCCCAGAGCCAGAGGUACCAUCAGGGGCCCUUGAGCCAACCAGAGAUGUAACCGUUCCUCUUUACCUCCGUUGCACAAUACAAUAGAAGUGUCGGCUUAAUGCUAAUUAACCUGCUAACAAACUCUACCGCUCCUACUAAACUUGCAAGGGUAUAAAUGUAGUGAAGCGUAAACGAAA